ensembl:lncRNA
UGAGCACCGCUGAAGGGGUAUAUCUGCACAGUAGAUUCAUGUGAUCAUCAAUUAGUCAUUUUCAAUUGAAAAACAUUUGCUAAAUGAAUUACUGCACAUACCCAAGAAUAAUUAAGAGCAAAGACACAAUAAUCCACAAUCUGUCUCAUUAGUACUUUAAUUUCAAAAAAAGAAAAUCUACAACAGAAACCAUUAGUCAUCUUACACAAAACAGAAAAUCACAUUUUAUACAGUUUUAUAAACUUCCAGUUUCAAUUGAAUUACAUAUUCCAUCUCUUCUGUAACGAGAGCUUCAUACCUUAUAAACCGAUUCGCUCGGGAUGCGGAUAAAUCCUUUUUUUUUUUUUUUAAACACAGCGUUCCUGCUUAGGUGGGAGCAGCUUCGUAAUGGAAAUCGGAAAAUUAAAUAGUAUGUUUUGAUGGUGUGUUUCGACAUAUCUCCCAUUCCAUGGGAAUACGCCAACAUGUCUCUCCAUAUAUCAGCGGUGUCUGCAUGCGGCCCGUGUGGAUCCCAUGGUCAAUAAGUCUCUCUCUCACUCACACACACACACACACACACACACACACACACACACACACACACACACACACACACACACACACACACACACACACACACACACACACACACACACACACACACACCCAUGCCUCUGUAUAUAUUAGAGGUGAGUGCAUGCCGCCCAUGUGGAUCAGAUGGACAAUAACUCUCAAGUAGAAAGAACACCACUCAUACUCAGGUGCAUAAAAGUCAUUCAAGGGGCACUCACACACACACACACACACGCACACACACACACACGCACACACACACACACACACACACACACACACUCCGCUGAGAGCUCACCACAAUUUCAGGCCACUGAAUAACUGUGUUACACUGCCCCCUAGAGGCAACAUGUAGCUAAGGCAACAAAUCUCCCAAAACCCAUUCCAGCUGAACCGUACACAAGAGAAAACAGUAGAAUCAGGGUAUAUAUUAAAAAUAAAAAUAAACAAUAGUCUUUUUAAAAGUCAUUAAGUGCAAAUUAAUUAGUGAAAUUAUUCUCUAAACACUGUGAAUCAGCCGCUUGGCACUACAAGCGACCCACAACACUGGCAAAGUGUAAUCCCACAGUGCAAUUCAUCUCCUUUCUAUGAAGCACUACAUCACCAUUCUAUAAAUGUAAAGCUCUAUACUCUAUCUAUGGUGUCUGUUGUCUGGGUGGUCUGACUUCCUGUAAAUGUUAAGCUCUAUACUCUAUGGUGUCUGGGUGGUCUGACUUCCUGUAAAUGUUAAGCUCUAUACUCUAUGGUGUCUGGGUGGUCUGGCAUUGAUGUGAUUAGCAUGGACAUGUUACAGAACAGAUCUGAAGUAUGCAGUAUAUGACUGCACAUGAGGCUUGUGUGUAAGCAUUUCUCUGUGUGUGUGAGUGUUUGUGUGUGUGUGUGUGUGUGUGAAUGUGCAAAUGAGAGACUGUGAGUGUGUGUGUGUGUGUGUGUGUGUGUAGGACAGAGAAAUGGACUGCUGGGAAAAGCUGGCAGCAUUUUGAAAUGGGUAGAAUGAUAGAAUAAUGUCAUGGGAAAUGUGUUUGUGUGUAUGAGUUAGGCUUAACCAUUCAUUCUUUGCACUAUGCACUUUGAGAAGUAUGUACCUCAACUUCAUGAUAUCAUUUGGCAUUGUACACAAGCAAACACUUUAUGUGUGUAUAUGUGUGUGUGUGCAUAUGUGUGUGCGUGUGCAAGUGUGCGUGUGUGUUUAUCAGAAAGUGAAAAUAGAGCACCACUCUAAAAGACAUUCAUCAGAUCACAUUGCCCUUCACGGUUUAAACAAUCACAAACAAACUACGAUUCCCAUCAUGCAGCAUUCCUGCCAUUUUCCCAUCAGUAUCCCAGACUCCACAUCAGCCUAUGUGUCUCAAAGUGCACACAAUACGUGGCAUUAUAAAACUGACCAUUCAUAGACAUGCAUAGACUUCAGGAAGUAAGGCAGUCAUUCUCAGGUAGGUAUGCUACCCCCUUUAGUACUAUAUACCUGUAGUACACUGAGCGAGGAUACUAGCUAAGUGAUGAUACCACGUAGUGUCCUUAAAAUAAGGAGACAGCAGCUGAACACUGGAACAUUCCUCCCUGAGGGAGAUGCUGGAUAACACUGUUGGCCACCCCCCCUCUCU